rnacentral:lncRNA from 1 species
AGGCUGGAGUACAGUGGUGUGAUCUCGGCUCACUGCAUCCUCCGCCUCCUGGGCUCAAGCAAUUCUCCUGCCUCAGCCUCCUGAGUAGCUGGGAUUACAGGUGUGUGCCACCAUGCCCAGCUAAUUUUUGUGUUUUUAGUAGAGACGGAGUUUCACCAUGUUGACCAGGCUGGUCUCGAACUCCUGACCUAUGGUGAUCCACCCGCCUCGGCUUCCCAAAGUGCUGGGAUUACAGGUGUGAGCCACCGCGCACAGCCUGACGGUUCUUAAUAUUGAGAUACUUACAAGGCAUUUUGGGGAGCAGAGAAGUGAGGGACUGACUUUAAAGGUCUUGGGAAGGAGGAGGGAGUUUUGAAUUUAGCAGCGAAGAAUAAUGUGUGACACGUGUUUCUUACACUAGAUAUCAGCUUUGCAAGGGCAUGGGGAUGUGUUACUGUGCUUAGUUAAGUGUUAAUGGUUUGAUAUGGGACCCAAGAGAUGGGACUGGAAAGAUAGGCAGAUCAUAAAGUCCUCGUUUAUAUGAGACUCCCAAGAGUAUAGAGUUUACUUUAUAAGGUAUGAGAAGUUAAGGGUUUUAAGAUGGGGAAUAAUUUGUUGAGAUUACAUUGACAGCAGUGUGAUAGAUGGAUUAGUGAAAAGAGAUCAGGUAGAUCAGUUUGGAAACUGCUCCCACAAAAUAUUAUGAGGCUCUUAUUAUGAGGCUCUGAGCCAAGGUAGAGAUGAUGUGAUUAAGUGAAAUGAGAUAUGCAAAAGGAUAAGGUUGGAAAUAGGUAAUAAAUUUGGAUUUCAAGCCUGUUUUGUAGGACAGAUGGAUCUGUAGCUCAAAGGAGAGGUAAAACCUGAAGAUAAUUAUAGAUACUUUAUUAUUAAGGCUAUGAGAAGGAAUGACAAUAUUUAUGGUGAAUUCAGUGGGUUUCUUAAGUGAGUUUAUUAUAGUCAAGAGUGUCAAGUGGGUGGACGUGGUGGCUCACGCCUGUAAUCCCAGAACUUUGGGAGGCUGAGGCGGGCAGAUCACCUGAGGUCAGGAGUUUGAGACCAGCCUGACCAACAUGGUGAAACCCAGUCUCUACUAAAAAAAUACAAAAAUUAGCUGGGCGUGGUCACGCGCACCUGUAAUCCCAG